AAAAAAAAAUGGCAACUUGAAAGUCACAUUCUACCACUAAUUUUCUUAUCCCCAAAGCCCACGACAGGUCUAGUCCUUUCAAAAUGCCCCAUAGCUCGGUCUUGUAAGUUGAACAGCGCCCAAUCAAGAAAGAGAAACCGCUGAUCCACUUUCCGUCGCUGCUUUUAAGGAGACCAUCACAACCCCCUUUUAUCGUCAUUCCUUCCAUGGCACCGUCUAUGUUCAAUGCAACCCAUUGAGCUUGAGUACGAUUCUAUUUGAUUUGCAUGGUUUCUUUGUGGCUUUCAAAAGUUUCACAUGUUCUAGCUACUGACAAUAAAGACAUUUUUUCAAUCCAUGCCUGGUAAGUUCCCAAGUUGAUUGUUGAGGUUGAGAGAAACUCAAUCCUUCAAAUUGAUUUCGAAGAAUGCUUGCACUACCUCUGGUUUUAUCAGGUUCAUCCAUAUCCUUGAAACAAUCGGGCAGUUUCUGAAGGCAUGCAUUAUGUCCUCAGUCUGAGUUCUGUAGUUAUGAUAGGUAUCCUCUCCUCCAAAAAAUGUGCUUUUCUCUGGUUAGUUAACAAUCUAUCAUGUAAUAGUCUCCAAACUAAAAUUUUUGCCUUCUGAGAUCCUUCCCAUCUCCAAACUUUGGUCCAGUAGUUUUGUUGAGGCUUUGUCCAUUUUCCUAGUGCUUUGUAUGUGACUCCAAUGAAAAAAUCUCCAUCUUCCUUGUGCUUUCAUACCUUAGUGUCCUCAUUCUGUUCAGGGAAUGUUGGUGGGGAAGCUAUAAUCUUUGUCACCACAUCUUCCGGUAAAUACUCUCAGGUUAUUGGUUUCUUCCACCUAGGGGUCUUGCCAGAAAUUCGUAGAGUAUCCAUAAAGGUGAGUUCAUACUUCUGGAUCUUAGUUGAGUGAUUUGUCUACUUCCACUGUAAUAUUUGUGUCUUAUAACCUCUGUCAAUAAAGAGUUUAUUUCUGUAUUGAGUUGCCAGAUGAUCUUCAUAAGGAAGGCGUCAUUCAUAACAUUGAGUUUUCUCAGGCCCAAUCCCCCUUCAUGUUUGGGAGUGCAAAGAGUUUUCUAUCCUAUAGCAUGUAGUCUCCUUUGAUUUUCAAUGUCUCCCUAUAUAUAGCCUCUUUGUAGUUUCUCAAUCUCAUAGCAAUGCUUUUAGGCACUCUUCCAUUUCCCAUAUCAAAAUUCAUCGUCGGACUAAUGGUCGAUUGAGCUAACGUGAUCCUUCCCGCAAGGGAUAGCAACUUACUUUUUCACCCUUUUCAGCUUUCUUUGGACUCUUUCAAUAACGGUCUUGAAAUUAUCUUUGUCUUUUCUGUUGUUGUUUAUCAUGGCCCUAAGAUACCUCCCCAGAGUAUUACUUUCCUUGAAAUCAAUUCUGCUAGUGUUAUCUUGUUUGGUUUGAGGUGUUGUGUUUUUGGAGAACAUUAUAGUGGAUUUAACUUUAUUGACUUUUAUCCCUACCACUGUGUGGAAGUUAUCCAAUACUUCUUUAAUUUUAGUGAUCUAACUAGUAAAAGCUUUCACGAAUAGAAGGAGAUCCUCCACGAACAUAAGGUGAGAAAUUUUUGGGCCAUUUUCCCCCACCUUGAUAGGGUUCCAGUUUCCAACAUCCACUUCUUCUUCAAUGUGCUGGGAUAGAUAAUCCAUAGAGAGAUAUGGGGUUUCCCUACCUCACACCCCUACUAGGUGUGAAAUCUUUGGUUUUGCUUCCAUUCCAUAAAAUAUUGUAGCUGACCGAAUUGACCCCUCCCAUGAUCAUGUUGAUGAACUGGGUAGUUUGAAAUCGAUUAGCCUUUGCUUGAUAAAACUCUAAUUAAUUAUUUCAUAUGCCUUUUCAAAGUCGAUCUUGAUGGCCAUGAAUCCUCUCCUCCCUUUUAUGCUUUUCAUAGUUUGCAUAAGCUCUUUCGCAAUAAGGAUAUUAUCCUGAAUGUUUCUGCCAGGUAUGAAGUUUGAUUAGUAUAGGGAAAUUCUUUCAUUAAGAAGGGGUUUUAGUCUCUUCACCAAAAUCUUAUACAAGAUUUUAUAUCUCACAUUGCAAAGGGCUAUGGGCCUAAAUUAAGCAACAAAUUUCAGGUUCUGAAUUUUGAAGAUCAAAGUUAAAAGAGUAGUGUUGGAUUCUUUGAUGAGAUCCGGGUUAUUCCAGUAAUCCUUGAUGUGGUCACACGUCUUCCUGCUCAAGAGGUCCCCGUUGUUUUUGUAAAAAGCAAAUAGACAGCCAUCCUCUCCUGGUGCUUUGUGAGAGCUUAUGUUGUAAAGGACUUUUUUAAUCUUCUCGUCCAUAAGGGUUGUUUCCAGUGCCCUGCAACUAGAUAAAUCUAGAACAGGAUAAGGAUUUGUCAAAGUGUGUGAAGGAACUCUCAUUACUUCUUCUUUAUAGAGAUUGAGAAAGUAGUCUACUAUGUGGUUUUUUAAUUGCUGCUCCUUUUCUAUCCAAUUGCCUUCCUAGUUUCUUAGUUUCAGAAUUUUGUUUUUUCUCCUUCUGAUGAUAGUUUUUGUAUGGUAGUGUAAAACUCGCGAGAUUAAUAAGUAAUUAGCCAAUAAAUUGAUUAUUAUUUAAAAAAAUUAGAAAAUGAAAUUUUAUAGUUUAAAGAAGUAGAAAUAAUUAAUAUAUAAAUUUUAACACUAAUUUUAAAGAUUUUUGGCCCAAAAUUGAGCCGUUGGGCCAAACCGUUGGAUCGAGCCCCAAAUUGGGCCCAAGGCCCAAUCCAUUCACCAUUAUUUAACUUAGCUCCAGCCAUUCCUCCCCCAAAAUACAAAGAACAUGCUGAACAAAGGGAAAAAGGGAGAAACAAGAAAGCAAAACCCUUGUCAAAUUUCAAUUCACCAUAUCUUCCAAUUCGAAGCUCCGAUUGACGAGACGUCAGUGACUACGCAUUCGUUUCGGAAUUCUCUACAAAUUCCAUUGAACAAUUUGGUGAACUCUAGUAAUGAUUAAUCACUGGGUAUCAUCCAUUUUAGCUGUGGGUAAGAUUAUAUUGUAUGUGUUGAGAUCACAUUGGUGGAUGUUGGAUGAUUGAUUUGAGCUUUGGAAGCUGAGAUUCUUUUUGGUGAGAAGUUGGAGCUUUAAAACUUGUAGAGCAGAGGAAUUCUGAAGUGUCUGAGUAUUAGGGAAGAAUCGGCCAAGGUAUGGUUUUGGUUUCUCGUAGAUAACGUAUAAUGUAACGAAAAACUUAGGCUAGUUGAUCGUAGGAUAAGUUGAACUAUGUGAACAUGUUGAGGUUUAGCAAUUUGGUGGAUAUGUUGAGUUUAAUUAUGUAAAUAUGUGAUAAUUGAUGAUUGUGGUGAUUAAUGAGGAUUGAUGAAUGAUUAUGAGUUGUGCUAUGAUUUAUUGAUAAAUUGAGUUGUUGUUGGCUAUUAAUUGUUGGGUUGAAAUGUUGUAAAAGGGGUGGAGUGGAUGUGAAAUGGCUUUGAGUGUAUUUGGUGUUGUUUGAAGUGUGAAACCUUGGUUUAAGAUUGUGGCUUUGGUAAAAUAGAGGUUUGGAGCUUUUUGGUAAAAACUUUAUUUUUGACCAAACUUUGGUGAGCCAUAACUCGACUUCGAGACCCUCAAACUUUAUCAAACUUAUUUUAAAUAAAAAUUAGAUUCAUGAAGUUUAUGCCGUUCAAAGAACGGACUAAAAAUAUUUUUUAACAAAAAAGUUAUGCGCGUCGAAAAUUUGGUGUGUAGAAGUGGAUUCUGCAGAACUUAACAGUUUUUUUAUACUUAUGGAGGACAUGUGUACGCGAGCACACAUGUGACGCGAACUUUGGGCUCUGUCCAGACGUCCCGCGUACGCAGGCGUGUAUAUGCGUACGCGAAAGGAGAAUCUUACAGGCUCGUGUAUGCGGGCAAGUACCAUGCGACGCGAGACAUCCUCCCUGUUCGAGGGACUCGCGUACACGGACAAGGGUCGUGUACGCGAGUUGGGCAAACAACAACUCUGCGUACGCGGAACAUGGCAUGUGUACGUGGAAUCUCUGUUUUUGGAAAAAGAAAUGUAUUUUCGUGAUUCUAAUCUAUUUUAUAACCUCUAAACAUCUACGUUUACUUUCUAAAGGUCCUAAAUUUAGCUUUUAAGUAUAAGAAAGAGAGUGAACCUAUAGAGAAGGGUUGUGAAGCGAAGAAAUUGAAUAGAGAAUGGUGAGUAAGGUGAUAUAUGAUAUGAAUGAUGAAUGAUUUGAUGAUAAAUGUUUGAGGAAGUGCGAAAAUAUUAUGAAUGUAUGAAUAAUGAAUGAGACAUAAUUAAUGGCAAUGAUAAUAUUGAGGUAUUGGAUGUGGGGAAGGCGGUGAGACGUUAAUCCCUCGAUCUUUUUCUCCCACAUUCUCUGUGAUUGUGAUUUGUUGGAUGUGAGAAAGAUGGUAAUGCGCUAAUCCCUCGACUCAUUCCCCCGCAUUCCUAGUGUUUGUGUUUUGUGAAAUAUGAGGAAGGUGGUAGGGCACUAAUUCCCCGACUUUUUUCCUCACAUUCUCUCUCCCUCUCUCUGUCUGCAUGGUGGUAGGACACUAAUCCCCCGAUGUUUUCUCUCACAUUUCUAUCUCUCUAUUUGUAAGGUGGUAGGACACAAAUUCUCCGACCGGUAUGGCACGGCCUCACUAGGGGAAGGUGAUAGGGCACUAAUGUAAUACCCUAACCUUUAGCACCUCAUGAUCGUACCAAAAGCUCAGGCGUUACUUAUCUCUAAACCUUUUUAUUCUAUACUAUCUGUAUUUAAUAUUGAGCCUUUGCGAAUACGAACCGAAACUUUAAUUAAGAAAACAAAAUAGUUGUUACUUUUAAAAGUAAAUUAUCAUUUCUACCCAUAAAAGUUGAAAACGCUGACAUAUCUACCCAUAGAAGAUAAAAAUUACCAUUUGUACCCAUAAAAAUUAAUUUCGCAAGCAAAAUUACCCAAACCCAAAAUAAUUAUAUAAAAUCCCCAAACUACCCCCUUCUCUUCUCUCACGCAUGCACCCACCCUCACUCACUAUCUGCAGCACCUAAACCACUACUGUCGUAGCAUCAUCUCCCUUCCUCCUCUCUCUUUCUCUCUCUCUCUCUUUCUCUCUCUCUCUCUCUCUCUCUCUCUCUCUCUCACACCUCUUGAACAUCAACAUAGCCCAGCCACUAUCCACUUCAAAAUCAUAAAAAAGAACAAACUCAAAUCAAAUUGAAGAAUAGAACAUGCAUAGAUUUAAAAUAAAACCCUAAUUUCUUAGAACCUUCACAAAAAAUUGUCAAUUUCUCAGAUUCAAUAUCACUAUUUUCGUUUCAAAUAACACAGAACAUUAAUUUGAUUUUGGCGAUGCUGGGAGGAGAUGACGAAAACGCAUCGCUAGGAGGAGAAGAGAGCAGCAACGCCGAGAGAAGAAGAUGAAGAUACGACAUUUGAAAAAGGAAGGAACUCAACGUUGAAGAAGUUGUUGUUGCAGAAAAUAGAGGACUCAAAAUUGCUACUUCCUGAAGCCGAAAACCUCCCGAAGAAGAAGAAGAAAAAGAGGAGGAGAGGAAAAGAUAGAGCUCGCGACAACAAAAGAAGGAACCACCAUUAAUACACAAAAGAGAGAGAGAAGAACGACAGAGAUGAGAGAGACAUCAAUAGGGAAGAAGAGGAAGGAAAAAGUGCGA